AACGAACGCUGGCGGCAUGCCUAACACAUGCAAGUCGAACGAGACCUUCGGGUCUAGUGGCGCACGGGUGCGUAACGCGUGGGAACCUGCCCUUAGGUUCGGAAUAACUCCCCGAAAGGGGUGCUAAUACCGGAUAAUGUCUUCGGACCAAAGAUUUAUCGCCUUUGGAUGGGCCCGCGUUGGAUUAGCUAGUUGGUAGGGUAAAAGCCUACCAAGGCGACGAUCCAUAGCUGGUCUGAGAGGAUGAUCAGCCACACUGGGACUGAGACACGGCCCAGACUCCUACGGGAGGCAGCAGUGGGGAAUAGUGGACAAUGGGCGAAAGCCUGAACCAGCAAUGCCGCGUGAGUGAUGAAGGCCUUAGGGUUGUAAAGCUCUUUUACCCGGGAUGAUAAUGACAGUACCGGGAGAAUAAGCUCCGGCUAACUCCGUG
rnacentral:rRNA from 1 species